GUUUUUGGUCAGCAACUCCCACUCGCUGCCAGAAGAGCGUACCUGCACACUCCAUCUCAGAAGCUAUCUCACCUGUUCCUUUCUCCAUUCUUCUUCAUCAUCACCACCUUGUUUAACACAGUCCAACAUGGACCCUACCCCCCAAAACUGCCUAUCUCUUCUUUGUUGUUUAACACAAUACAAUUACCCAUUUUGAUUCUUUUAUCUAACCAACUAAAUUUUCUUUUAAAAGUACUUUUUAUGUAUUGCUAAAUUUUCAUAUGGCUCAUUUUGGCUAAAUUUAUCAAGCCUGCCCAAGUUGGUCCAAGUAUUUAGAUAAACUUUACCAAAUUGCAACUGAAAUUUGUACUCCAUGGAAAUGCAGAGGAAAUUCACGGCAAGAGAAGAUCAAGACGGAGUGAGUGAUUUGCCUGACGCAAUUCUACUUCACAUUCUCUCUAUGUUGUGGAAUCCUAAAGAAGUUGUGAGAAGUAGCGUAUUAUCUAGACGAUGGAGGUUUCUUUGGGUGUCCGUUCCACUGUCACUCUAUUUCAACUUCCCUAUUAGCGAAAGCGAAAAGGAUACUCUUGAUUACAUGGCUUCCACCCAUUGAGAGCUUCAUUAUUGGAGGAAUUGCCAGAAAAUUCUGAAAUUCAGGGUGUGGGGCCUUAGAUACGAGGACCGUAUGCUAAUGAUAUUGAUUUAUGGGUACAAUUUGCAACUAAACUAGCUAAUGUUGAAAGUUUUACACUUGGAUUUUGGUCUACGGAUCAACCGGGAUAUGAUUUUCCUCAAUUUGCAUAUAAGAAUGCGCCCUUGAGGAAAUUGCAUAUAUAGUCUCGUUUCUCUUUCAUUUGGGGACCUGCAAUUGACUGACGAUAUCAUGGAAAAGGUAUUCUCCGGUUGCCCUCCCUAACUUGGAGUGCUUGGUACUAGAUGCUAUUUGGGGCAUUUAUCAUUUGGAAAUCAGCUCCGUGAAGCUGAGAGAAUUGACCAUACAAGAUUACGGAAAUGAGAAUCAUGAUCUUUGGCUCGAUAUAUUAGCCCCGUAUAUUCAAAAUUUGCAACUUUUGGGGGUGCUGCUGUGAGUUACGCAUGCGGCAGAGAAUUGUGGCUUCACUUGUCACUGCAGUCCUUCGCUUAGAGUUUGCGUUUGACGAUGUAGAAGGCAACUUGGAGAAGGAGUGUAGAUAUUUGAAGGAACUUCUUCACAGUGCUGCCCAUGUCGAGAAUCUUGAAUUGGGUCCCUGGUGCACGAGUUCCUGUCCAUACUGGAGUUGAGAGGGUGGCAGCCUCCACCAUCAAGCUGGAAAUUCUUAGAACUUCCAUCCUUACAAGAGUUGGACUUUCCUGGAAUUUGCAGCUUUCUACAGAGUUCAUCGGAUCUUGAGACAUUGGUCAUUAACUGGUGGUUUGAUGACGAAGCUAGAUUCCUGCUGUCAAGUUACAUAAAUGAGGAUGAACAGAGCAGGAGGUUUGAAACACGUAAUUUUAUUUAUUUUUUGAUAAUCGUGGUGUCCGGGCCAGCUUGCGCGCAGCUCGACUAAUUCCAUGAGAUACCUGCCACCUCCCACCAGCAACAGGUACCAGGUAACUCUAUCCACCAAGGCUUGGAUCGAUGGGAAGAAAUAACCUAGUAUUUGCCUCCGCUGGGUUUGAAACACGUAAUUUUAACUGCUCAUUUCUACAUCUGAAGACCAUCGAGAUCAUUAACUUUCAUGGAUCACUAAGUGAAAAUAAGUCUGUGAUACCAUUGGUAAAAUAUUUUCUAAAGCAUGCAACUGUGCUUGAAAAGUUCGUCAUUGACGCCAUAUUCGAAGGGAGUGAUGUUCUCCAGAUUAUGUUAUAAUGGCACAGGAGUUCCUAAGCUUUCCAAGAUCCUCUCCGCAUGCUUCAAUUGUCUUUUAUUAUCGAUAAUUUUUGGCCCCUCUCGUUCGUAUUGAUUACAACAUACUUAAUUAGCUGUUACUUUAUGUUAGAAAACUGGUUAUGUAGCUGAUAAACAAGGUUAGGAUUGUACUUUUCAGUGUCCAAGGAGUUGUUAAUAUUUGUUCAGUCUAAGUAACAGCUGUGUUUAUUCUCUAAUCAUGUAAGGAAGCAUGCUCUAAAUGUUUUGGAAUUUCUAUUCAUAUUGCUGAA